AACAAACGCUGGCGGCGUGCCUAAUACAUGCAAGUCGAACGGGGAAAGCUUUCGGGUGAGUACUAGUGGCGCACGGGUGAGUAACACGUGGGUAAUCUGCCUUCAAAUGGGGAACAACCAGUCGAAAGAUUGGCUAAUACCGCAUAAGACCACAGGAUCUGCGGAUCUAGGGGUUAAAGAGUAAUUCGUUUGAAGAUGAGCCCGCGCGAGAUUAGCUAGUUGGUAGGGUAACGGCCUACCAAGGCUACGAUCUCUAGCUGGUCUGAGAGGAUGAUCAGCCACACUGGAACUGAGACACGGUCCAGACUCCUACGGGAGGCAG
rnacentral:rRNA from 1 species